UUUUUAAUUAUUUAAAUAAUUAUAAAUACAUAAGACAACAUAUAAAAACUCCUUCUUCCAGAUAAAUGUUUUAAUCUGUACUGUUUAUUAAUGAUAAUGGUUUUAUUCUGAGGUUGGUAGGGUAUUGUGAUAUAUACUCUUUGUAAAAGAGGCGAACAUGCGAUUAUGUGGCGUGAAGUUUAUUUAAUUAAUGUAUUAUCCAUCUACCAAAAAGUGAGAGUACCUACGAACACGAUGUCAUUACCUACAUUAAAGUCGAUCUACAGAAAGAAAAUGUAACGGCAUUUAAAUGAAGUGUGAAUUUGGGAAACAGUGGUUUACAUUACGAGAAAUGCGAUAAAAAUCAUACGUGUGUACAACCAUUAAGUAUGUAUACCACUGACGGCUAUGGGACGCACGCCGCACUGGUCCCGGUAAAAGUAUUUAUGCGAUGUCGGUUGUCGAUGCUUACAAUAUCUAACAAGAAUGAAGAAACGUAAACGUAACACACUUAUACCAUGUUGACGAUAUUUAUGAGCAAAACAGUCAAACAGUCCAACAGCACUCAUAAGAGGAUAUUAUUUGAAAAACUGCGAGAGAACAGAGAAGAACGUGUAAAUUAAUAACAAAAUACAAAGAUGCAUGUGUGGUGUUAGCUGCAGAGUUAUAUGAGAUGGAAUCCUGUUGGUUUGACGGAUGAGAAAUACCAAUGAUGUCUAAAUAUAUUAAACUAGGUGUCUGGUGAGUUUUAUUAGUUUGAUUAAACAGCCUCAUAAAUUAUUCAGUUGUGACUAAUAUGAAAUAAAAUUACAAAGAAUAAAUAAUCACUAGGUGAAACUAAGUAUGGUUGAUAGGUUGUCAGUUUGUCUGGCUUAUUGUCAAAACAUUUUUGUUAGAUGACUAUAUCUAGGAAACCAAAAUCAUUUAAGUGAAAAGUACACACACACACACACACAUACACACUGCUCAAGAAAUUAACGUAUGAAGACAGACCACUCUAGGGUUGUUAGGAUGUAGGACACUGGCAUAAUGUAAUAUUGAGAAAUCUUAAUUAUAGAACUACAUUACAUCCGUUGCUGACAUGGGACUAAAAUGAAUUAACUAAAAUAUUGUUUUUUUUUGUGCCUGUAACUUCAAACUAUACAUUUGUUAUAUGUGAGUUUUUAUGACUGAAUAACAUAAAAAUUAAAAAUAUAUGAAGUUUUAUGUAAUGGUUCAAGUAUUAUUUUAGGCCUUGAUGUAGGUACCUGAUAACAAGUUUUGAGACAGCUAUUACAAUAUUUUCAGAUAGGAUUUGCUUAGAUAUAUCAUUAUGUAGAUUACUGUAUGUACUUAAUAUAAAUUUUUUUAAAUCUUUUAAGAAAUUGGAUUGAUAGAUUUCUUGAAAAAUAAAUUUGUAGUUAUGUUUGAAAACCUAUUUAACUAUUCAAGCGUGGACAACAUGCCUUCAGCCUAUUUAGUAUAGAACAGUUAUUAACAAUCUGCAGCAACACAGUAAAUGAUUCUUAUCCAUGAAUAUUAUUAUAUUCGGCUUAUCUACAAGAGUACUAAGAGAUAUUAUGAUAUUCAUCUUAAUGAAAUCUUAUAAUUAAUUAAAUUGGAGAUUUUUUUUUAGGGUGAUAUUAAAAAGUUACUUGUGUGACAAUUGAGUAAUAAAUAAUUAAUUAUAAUAAUAUCAUUGAUCACAAAUUGUCUUAGAGCCCAGUCUGUAUGGACUUCAAGUAAAGAGACACAGAUUGCCAUAAAUAGGUUGUAAAAUAUUUGUCUAAGACAUAUUUUGACAGUUUUGUGGGUGGGUGACGUUGGGCUCUCUUUUCAUUAAUGAUCAUGUGCAGAUGUAUAGAUUCUACAUACAAGUAAAUUAACCAUACUAUUGCUGUUGUUUUAGAUUCAAUCAAUCAGUUUAUUAUUUGCAGAUACACUAGUGUAUUUAAUCCAUGUCUCAUUUGUUUAUUUCUAGCAUUUUAUUAGAUUGCAACAUUUUGUAUAAUUAUGAAAAUUAGUAAUUAUUAUGGGGUUGUGGUUAGAAUUAUAUAUUCGGAUGGUUACAAUGAUAUGUGCAUAAGGUUUUAACUAGGGUAUACUAGUACACUAAAGGUAAAAAAAAAAUUAGAAAAUUCCUUGGCCAACAUAUUAAGUGGUAUAGGUUUUGAAUAUAGAUUUGUAUUGGGUCCUUAGGUAGUCAGUACAUUUGUGCAUCUACAAAGUGCACGCCACCGAGUUGUUGGUACCUGCAUGCAACUGAUGGGUGGUCUGCAUCAAGUAUGAAUCAAUAUAGAGACUUAAAUCAUUACAUCAGUAAAAUAAUUAAUGGAUAUAGCCAAAAAAAAAAAAAAAAGAAAUUUAACAGAAUUAAAAAAAAAAGAAUAUACUAAAAUUAAUGAAUAGGUAAAACCUCUGAUAGCAAACUAGAGGUAUAUAACAAAGGGGGUGGUCUGGUCUAAGACAGGUUUAUGCUACUAUUAUUACAAAAAAGGGGGUAGUCUGAAGAUAAUUAUACAAUACAUAGUCAAAUAUCAUCUUUUCUUAUCUAGUGAUAACUACUAGGAUUGGAUUACAUACUAAAAUUAUUACAAUCAUAAAUCGCAAUAUUUUCAAGAAGUCUUUAUUAUCAUUAAAAAAAAAAAGCAUUUCUUUAAGAGAAAGAGUCUUUUGUCUGAAUUAAAGUAAAUUGAUAGAUUAACACAUGUUUAACAUUUUAUUUCAUUUUAUGUACCGGGUCUAAGGUUCAUUCAAUUAUAGACUGAUUUUCUCUUGGAUGCUAGGUAUGCUAGUUAUGUUAAAUUAAAUUAUUUGUCAAACAAGUAUGAUAUUUAUCUGAACGAUUAAGUGACUGAGCUAUGUGAUACUGUGUGAAAAUAUUUGAUUACAGAUCCGAGAUGCAUGGAUAUUGAUUGAUGAAUAUGGGAUAUAUGAGAUUCUCAUGAUAAUCAUUGGGUUGAACACAGCCCUAUUCGACAGUUGACCCAAAUCACAAAGAUGAGAGAAGUUACACUAUGUAUUGAUAACACACGAUUUAAAUUUAGUAUUUUUAUUUAUGAUAUGAUGAUAUUAUAAUUAUGUAUUAUAUUGAGAGUUAUUAGUUUUGAUAUCAUAUAUACAUAUAUUUUAAAUAUUUGCUCACAUCCAUGAUGUUAUUCAUUAAUUAUGACUUACUGAUGACGAUUUGUGUUUUGGUAAAAUUUUAAUAUAAGGAUAGAUGUAUUACACAGGCCGACACGAUUUUCGUUGUCCAAGAUAUAAUUAUUUUUUUUCUACUGAUUUUGUAGUGCUGAUUACGAAAUCAGACCUAAUUUUAUCAUAUCACAUCAGAUUUUUAGUAAAAUUAAUAUAUUCGCUAGUUUUGAUUUUUCAGUGAAAUUUUCGAGUUUUGGCACUCUUUCUUUGAAUUAAGCGACCUCUCAUGAGAAAUUACUUCAGUUAUAACAACGACACACCUAUUUGUAACGCGUUUCGUGGAAAUAAGCUGUUAUAGUGCCUUUGUUAAAAAAAAAAAUAUAUAUAUAUUUUAGUUAAUGGUUUUUUUUGUUGAUGGAAAACGUCUGAUAAACAUAACGUCUUCUAUAAAGUGUCACAAUAGUCCAGAUAUAUUUUGUUACAUUUGUUGAAACUUUAUGAUUCUAAGCAAAAACUGAAAAAUUUGUGGAAAAUAUGUAUAAUAAAUAUGUAGCUUAUUUUGACUUCAAAAUACAAAUAAAAUCGUGGACUCUGCAGUUUGUACUAAUCGUGUUGAACAAUUAAGGCAGUGGACACUGGACAUACAGCAAAAGACAAUCUCUACCUUUUGGUACUACCUAUGAUAUAGUGAAAGCAAGACAAUCAUACAGAUAUUGUUAUUUUUGCUGUAUGUUAGAAGCUUUUAAAGUAAAAUUUGUUUUCCUUUUUGUAAAAAAAAUUGAUGUGAUAGAUUAAUUGUGCAGGUAUUUUUGUGUUCAAAAUACUAUAAAUUACUGAUAAUUUUUACUGAAAUCAAAACAACGUUCAAAAAGUAUUCAUUUGUCGGCCGGUGUUAUCGAUAAUAUUUUAGAUAGUAUUAUAGUAUAGUAGUGUUAUGACGACUAAUAUACCGUUAUUUGUUUUGUGAAUGAUUAUGGAUAUAUUUGUUGUAUAAUAAUUUCUCUAUUGAUUAUUACACAGCAAAAUAAAAUAAAUAAAUAAAUAUAAAAAGAUUCCAACGAAUUGAUAAACUCCUUUUUUUUGAAGUCGUUUAAAAAUGUAUGUAUAUGUAUUUAUAUCUGAUUUUAUAUUUUGAUUAUCUUCUAUCACAUGUCAUCUGGAAGUCUAACACGAUCAUGAAGUCCUGUAACUAUAUUAGUUCUGAACUUGAUGGUGAGGGGUUCGGUGCAGAUGCAACACAUCAUCUGGAAGUCUAACACGAUCACAAAGUCCUGUAACUUUACUAGUUCUUGACUUGGUGGUGAGGGGUUCGGUGCAGAUGUCACACAUCAUCUGGAAGUCUAACACGAUCACAAAGUCCUGUAACUUUACUAGUUCUUGACUUGGUGGUGAGGGGUUCGGUGCAGAUGUCACACAUCAUCUGGAAGUCUAACACGAUCACAAAGUCCUGUAAUUUUACUAGUUCUGGACUUGGUGGUGAGGGGUUCGGUGCAGAUGUCACACAUCAUCUGGAAGUCUAACACGAUCACAAAGUCCUGUAACUUUACUAGUUCUGGACUGGGUGGUGAGGGGUUCGGUGCAGAUGCCAUUAAUCGAUGAUGACGAAUUUGACAAAUAUAAAUAAUGUUUUGAAAUGAUGAAAAUAGAUAAGUUGAUUGACAAAAGCUUCACAUGAACAUUAUGUUUAUUUAUAAUAUGUAUCACUCUUAUUCUUAUUUAACAUUUUUAUGAUAAAAGUAUAUAGAAGAAAUCAAGAAUUUCAUUAUAGUUUCAUUGGAUUCUUUUAAAUAACUUAUGGGAUGCUGUGUGAUAAUUAAUUAUAAAAUUUUAUUGUUAACAUUGUUCUAUUUAUAGUUGAUAUUAUAGUAAUGUCAUAAUUUCAUGAUAUUCUUGUGUUGUUUGGGGACAAACUUUUAGUAAGGAUGGCCGAAUAUUAGAAGAUAAAGACAUUACAUUUGUAAAUAUUACAUAUCGUCUAUGUACUUAAUGCUUUAAAUUAAUCUACUACUCUGUCUAAGUUAAUUACAAUAUUUAAUAAGUCUCUGUCUAGAGUAAAGCUCCCUCUUGUCAUCUGGAAGCUCAGACAAAUAUUAGAAGAUAAAGACAUUACAUUUGUAAAUAUUACAUAUCGUCUAUGUACUUAAUGCUUUAAAUUAAUCUACUACUCUGUCUAAGUUAAUUACAAUAUUUAAUAAGUCUCUGUCUAGAGUAAAGCUCCCUCUUGUCAUCUGGAAGCUCAGACAAAUAUUAGAAGAUAAAGACAUUACAUUUGUAAAUAUUACAUAUCGUCUAUGUACUUAAUGCUUUAAAUUAAUCUACUACUCUGUCUAAGUUAAUUACAAUAUUUAAUAAGUCUCUGUCUAGAGUAAAGCUCCCUCUUGUCAUCUGGAAGCUCAGACAAAUAUUAGAAGAUAAAGACAUUACAUUUGUAAAUAUUA